rnacentral:miRNA from 1 species
CUCGUACCCAGGCUCUUUCCACUACGCGCCUCCUUAGCGAGGCGCGUAGUGAAAAGAGCCUGGGUACGAG